UAUUUUUAAUUGACUUAAUUGACAUAGACCAAGUCCUAUAGUAAAAUGAGGAUGA
rnacentral:tRNA from 1 species